rnacentral:lncRNA from 11 species
UGAAAAUGAUAACUCAUUGAAAAUAAUUGCUCCCUACUAGCAAGGACAGGUUGUUUAAGCAAAGUCAGCAAAGACUUGAUCUGACCUCAACAUUAUGACAAUACAGCUUCAAUGGCUUUAGCUAUGAUUGUUUAUCCACACUUGUUCUCUGUAUACAACUGUUGGUCUUUUCUGUUUCUCAACUCUUGCUCAUUCCUCAAC